GAACCCAGCCGAACAUGGCUACACUCGCCUUGUAAGCGAGCGGUCGUCAGUUCAAUCCUGACAGGGGGCU
rnacentral:tRNA from 1 species